rnacentral:rRNA from 1 species
CCUACGGGUGGCAGCAGUGAGGAAUAUUGCUCAAUGGGCGCGAGCCUGAACCAGCCAAGUAGCGUGAAGGAUGACUGCCCUACGGUUUGUAAACUUCUUUUAUAAAGGAAUAAAGUGAGGCAGGUGUUCCUUUUUGUAUGUACUUUAUGAAUAAGGGUCGGCUAACUCCGCGCCAGCAGCCGCGGUAAUACGGAGGAUCCGAGCGUUAUCCGGAUUUAUUUGGUUUAAAGUGAAUGUAGAUGGGAUGUUAAGUCAGUUGUGAAAGUUUCGGGCUCAACCGUAAAAUUGCAAUUGAUACUGGCAGUCUUGAGUACAGUUGAGGUAGGCGGAAUUCGUGGUGUAGCGGUGAAAUGCUUAGAUAUCACGAAGAACUCCGAUUGCGAAGGCAGCUUACUAAAAUGCCACUGACACUGAUGAGCGAAAGUGUGGGUAUCAAACAGGAUUAGAUACCCUAGUAGUC